AGGUGCGAUCAUACCAGCACUAAUGCACCGGAUCCCAUCAGAACUCCGCAGUCAAGCGUGCUUGGACGAGAGUAGUACUAGGAUUGGUGACCUACUGGGAAGUCCUCGUGUUACACCUC
rfam:Lupinus angustifolius cultivar Tanjil contig_23422, whole genome shotgun sequence.